CCGCCAAUAUCCAGCAAUUUUGCACAGCCAUUGAAGUUGAGUGGGACAACAUGCCACAGGCCACAAUCAACAGCCUGAUCAAAUCUAUGCAAAUCUAUGUGUCGUGCUGCGGUGGUCACACCAGAUACUGACUGGUUUUCUGAUCCAUGCCCUACUUUUUUUUAAAGGUAUCUGUGACCAACAGGGGCAGGGGCGCACCUUCGCUGGUGACGAUUCUGAAAUGGCAUUUUUGUCCCCCAUAGUUUUAUCAUUGCACUGUGUUACAUCUCCGGUGUGCUUUAGGACCAUGCGGACGCCUCAGAGCAGUCGGGUAGGCUGUUUUCUGGUUUCAGCUUGCUGCAUUUAGGACCGCAGAGACACUGCAGAGCAUACAGGCUGUUUGAAGGCAAAGCUUCUGAAAGGCUGGCGUAUAAGACCAGCACAGGAGAGAUGAACAGAGACCUGAAUCAAAUGAUGAAACCAGUGGCCAAAUGAUUGAAGACCGAUAUUUGGACGUUUUUUCAGCACAAUGAUCGGAUGGUGACAGGUGUCACUGCAGCGUCAGACAGCCAAGGAAGACCGGUCUACAUAGCUCAGGAUCAGACGGUGACAGGGGUCUCAUCAGGGUCAGGCAGCCAGGGAAGACCAGUCUGUGGCAGAGCUGCAGAUACAACACUUUAUUUUCUCUGUACAGAAAACAGGGGACAAGCAAGAAGCUGAAAAGAUUUAAACUAUUUUAAAGCAGUCUGACAAACCUCUAAAGUUGAUUUCCAAACUGUACCAAGAGUUGAUAGAGGCUUUUCCCGAUGACACAAAACAUGUGAAACAAAAAUGUGAGGAAGAACUGGGAGAUGCUAUUGAUGAUGAUGAAUGGAUACAGAUGCGUUUGAAUGUCUAGUCAUGCUCAUAUAAUCUCCGACAUAAAUGAUUACAGUUUAAGACCAUCCAUAGAAUGUACUAUAUGCCAGUGAAACUGAAUAUAAUGCACACAGAAAUGUAAUUAUUCUGCUGGUGGUGUAAAACACAAAAGGGAAAAUAUUUCAGUCUUGUGAAGGCUGGAUGAAUUCUGGCAAAGAGUAUGUUAUUUUAUCUCAGCAUGUCUACAGAUUCUCCCUUCGUCCUGUUUUUGUUUGCUUGGAAAUGUUGAUACUGGAAACUUAUCAGAAGAAACAGUGUAACCUAGUAUUUAUAGUGGCUAAGAAAUGCAUUGCAAUUAAUUCCAAAUCAAAUUUUAUUGGUCACAUACACAUAUUUGCAGAUGCUAUU